rnacentral:rRNA from 1 species
CACGUAGGGUGCGAGCGUUGUCCGGAAUUAUUGGGCGUAAAGAGCUCGUAGGCGGUGUGUCGCGUCGGCCGUGAAAACCUGCAGCUUAACUGUGGGCUUGCGGUCGAUACGGGCAGGCUAGAGUUCGGUAGGGGAGACUGGAAUUCCUGGUGUAGCGGUGAAAUGCGCAGAUAUCUGGAGGAACACCGGUGGCGAAGGCGGCAUCCUGGACCGGUAUUGACGCUGAGGCGCGAAAGCUAGGGGAGCAAACGGG